rnacentral:rRNA from 1 species
GACGAACGCUGGCGGCGUGCUUAACACAUGCAAGUCGAACGAAGAGCGAUGGAAGCUUGCUUCUAUCAAUCUUAGUGGCGAACGGGUGAGUAACGCGUAAUCAACCUGCCCUUCAGAGGGGGACAACAGUUGGAAACGACUGCUAAUACCGCAUACGAUCUAAUCUCGGCAUCGAGGAUAGAUGAAAGGUGGCCUCUACAUGUAAGCUAUCACUGAAGGAGGGGAUUGCGUCUGAUUAGCUAGUUGGAGGGGUAACGACCCACCAAGGCGAUGAUCAGUAGCCGGUCUGAGAGGAUGAACGGCCACAUUGGGACUGAGACACGGCCCAGACUCCUACGGGAGGCAGCAGUGGGGAAUCUUCCGCAAUGGACGAAAGUCUGACGGAGCAACGCCGCGUGAGUGAUGACGGCCUUCGGGUUGUAAAGCUCUGUUAAUCGGGACGAAAGGCCUUCUUGCGAAUAGUGAGAAGGAUUGACGGUACCGGAAGAGAAAGCCACGGCUAACUACGUG